ensembl:snRNA RNU4ATAC16P U4atac minor spliceosomal RNA
UCUGUCCUUGUCUUGGGGUUGCAAGGCUGUUCAAUGAUCAUCUAGUGAGCACAGCCCUGCUAACACCAGAACAACACAUACGGAUCACCUGGAUGAGUACUGUCAUAGAUAACUCCUAAGCAGCUUGCUGACUCAUUAAAACUAACGUUUAGACUUAUUGAGUUAAACGGUAGUUUGAAUAUUGUAUCA